GCCUGGGUGGCUCAGUCGGUUGAGCGUCCGACUUCGGCUCAGGUCAUGCAUGAUCUUGCAGUCCGUGGGUUCAAGCCCCGCAUCGGGCU
rnacentral:tRNA from 1 species